GCGGUCGUGGUGUAACGGCAACACGCCAGCUUCCCAAGCUGGAUAGUGCGGGUUCGAAUCCCGUCGACCGCUCCC
rnacentral:tRNA from 1 species